CCCUAGCCCCGAUUGCAGUGGAAAUCCUUUUAUGGAGUCCCGACGCUUCGGGACGCAAUAAAAGAUUGCAACGUAAAGCGGGAAACAGC
rnacentral:sRNA from 1 species